UUGUUUCAGGGAUGAAUAAGUACUUGAUAACUGAAUUCAUUUAUCUCUUUGUCAUCAUCGCAGUGUUUGUGUUAUGCUCAUCAUUAUUAAAUGGCAUAAUU
rfam:Capsicum annuum cultivar Zunla-1 chromosome 4, whole genome shotgun sequence